rnacentral:rRNA from 1 species
UACGUCGGCAGCACGCGUUACUCGGAAUUACUGGGCGUAACGGGUGAGUAGGCGGCUGAGCAAGUCAAGGAUGAAAGCCCGAGGCUCAACUUCGGAAUUGUCCUUGAAACUGCUCAGCUUGAGGGUAGUUGAGGAGAGUGGAAUUCCCGGUGGAGCGGUGAAAUGCGUAGAUAUCGGGAGGAACACCUGAGGCGAAGGCGGCUCUCUAAGCUAUUCCUGACGCUGAAUCACGAAAGCUAGGGGAUCAAACGGG